rnacentral:rRNA from 1 species
UACGGAGGGUGCGGGCGUUGUCCGGAAUCACUGGGCGUAAAGGGCGCGUAGGUGGCGCGGGCAGUCAACGGUGAAAGUUCGGGGCUCAACCCUGAAUCGGCCGUCGAUACUCCCGGGCUUGAGCACUGUAGAGGCUAAUGGAAUUCCGGGUGUAGCGGUGGAAUGCGUAGAGAUCCGGAAGAACACCGGUGGCGAAGGCGGUUAGCUGGGCAGUUGCUGACACUGAGGCGCGACAGCGUGGGGAGCAAACAGG